UACGAAGGGGGCUAGCGUUGCUCGGAAUCACUGGGCGUAAAGCGCACGUAGGCGGCUUGUUAAGUCGGGGGUGAAAUCCUGGAGCUCAACUCCAGAACUGCCUUCGAUACUGGCAAGCUUCGAGUCCGGGAGAGGAGAGUGGAAUUCCUGGUGUAGCGGUGAAAUGCGCAGAUAUCAGGAAGAACACCCGUGGCUAAGGCGGCUCUCUAGUACGGUACUGACGCUGAGAC
rnacentral:rRNA from 1 species